rfam:Schistosoma haematobium scaffold383_15, whole genome shotgun sequence.
AGCCUUCUGAAUCCGUGCCGAGAUUCCGUCAGACACCAAACCAUUAGGACUAAUGAAACACAAGAUAGGUGAAGUG